CAGGCAUAGUAAGAUCCUCAAGGAACUAGCAUCAACAGGAAGCUGUUACCACCUGGAGGUCUGAAGCAGCGAGGAGAAAAAACCAUUUGAUCAGCGCCCAGGAGGGCUGGAGUCCUGGAGGGACCACCCGGCAGGGGCUGUCACUGAAGAAGGAGUGAACUUCCCCAGCUUUGAAGACUGUGUGAACACAGAGCCUGGAUGACACUUGCUGCCCUGCCCACGUGGAUUGACAUGGCUUCCUCUCGCUCCACCUCCACCUCCAAGCAGCAGCAGACGAACAGCACCAGACUGACCAGGACCUCCUAGGCCAUCACAGCCCUGUGACUACUGGACAUCUUUUUAUCUGUCAUUUUAUUUCAAGGUGGUGACACAUAUAGCCAUGUGGAAAAUGAACAAAAACCUCUCUGAAGUGAUUUUGAAGGAUGAAAAAAUUGAUAAAAAUCAGUCAACUUUUCGUCAAGUUUUUAGGAAGAAUGCAU
rnacentral:lncRNA from 10 species